rnacentral:lncRNA from 1 species
UGGUUCACCCAUGAAAUCAGGGUAUUUCAUAAAGCAUAUAGUAGAGAAUGGUGAAACUGAAUGAUGAAUCAGAUAUUUGUGAUAAAUUGUAUUGUUACGAAACGUCGUAAGCAUCAAUCAGCCCUGAAAGCCAAUUCCUGAUCAUAACAAAUGAUUCAAGGUAGAGGAAUGGAUUUCUUCACAAGUGAUAUGAACAUCCACAUUUCUGUACCCUAUCAUCAUCCACCCUCAUGUCAAAUGUUGAAAGAACAUCCGCCAUCAAUUUGAUGAGGCUCUGCAUAAAUAAUAUAGGGGCAAGGUUGCAGGGCCCAGCAACAACAUGGUAUAAAGCAUAAAUAAGGCAGCAAGCUUUAUGAAAUAAAAAUCAGCUGAAACAUAUGAUGAACUGCAUAAAAACUGUACUGACAUGCAAUUUUAAUGGCAUUAUCUAUCAAAACGAACCAAAAUGAAACAAAAGCAAUGUAACAAGCCAGUUCUUUUCAAAGUAAUGAUUUGUCUUGAAACAACAAGCUUGAAACUAGA